rnacentral:rRNA from 1 species
CUACGGAGGGGGCUAGCGUUGUUCGGAAUUACUGGGCGUAAAGCGCACGUAGGCGGCUUUGUAAGUCAGAGGUGAAAGCCUGGAGCUCAACUCCAGAACUGCCUUUGAGACUGCAUCGCUUGAAUCCAGGAGAGGUCAGUGGAAUUCCGAGUGUAGAGGUGAAAUUCGUAGAUAUUCGGAAGAACACCAGUGGCGAAGGCGGCUGACUGGACUGGUAUUGACGCUGAGGUGCGAAUGCGUGGGGAGCAAACAGGAUUAGAAACCCUAGUAGUCC